rnacentral:rRNA from 1 species
UGGGGAAUAUUGCACAAUGGGCGAAAGCCUGAUGCAGCGACGCCGCGUGAGGGAUGACGGCCUUCGGGUUGUAAACCUCUUUCAGCAGGGAAGAAGCGAAAGUGACGGUACCUGCAGAAGAAGCGCCGGCUAACUACGUGCCAGCAGCCGCGGUAAUACGUAGGGCGCAAGCGUUGUCCGGAAUUAUUGGGCGUAAAGAGCUCGUAGGCGGUUAGUCGCGUCUGCUGUGAAAACUCGAGGCUCAACCUCGGGCUUGCAGUGGGUACGGGCUGACUAGAGUGCGGUAGGGGUGACUGGAAUUCCUGGUGUAGCGGUGGAAUGCGCAGAUAUCAGGAGGAACACCGAUGGCGAAGGCAGGUCACUGGGCCGCAACUGACGCUGAGGAGCGAAAGCAUGGGGAGCGAACAGGAUUAGAUACCCUGGUAGUCCAUGCCGUAAACGUUGGGCACUAGGUGUGGGUCCAUUCCACGGAUUCCGUGCCGCAGCAAACGCAUUAAGUGCCCCGCCUGGGGAGUACGGCCGCAAGGCUAAAACUUAAAGGAAUUGACGGGGUCAUAGCUGUUUCC